rnacentral:rRNA from 1 species
UACGUAGGGUGCAAGCGUUAAUCGGAAUUACUGGGCGUAAAGCGUGCGCAGGCGGCGAUGUAAGACAGAUGUGAAAUCCCCGGGCUCAACCUGGGAACUGCAUUUGUGACUGCAUCGCUGGAGUGCGGCAGAGGGGGAUGGAAUUCCGCGUGUAGCAGUGAAAUGCGUAGAGAUGCGGAGGAACACCGAUGGCGAAGGCAGCCCCCUGGGCUGACACUGACGCUCAGGCACGAAAGCGUGGGGAGCAAACAGG